CCCCAUACAAGUAUUUCGAAUCAAAAGUUAAUAGUUUUGUUUAACAGAAUAUGUCUUUCAGAUUUAUUUUGAUGGAGUUUUUCUUUCGAUAUUUGUCAUUUGAGCAGUGACGCCAGUCAUUUAAACUUAGGGACGGACCAUUAGAAAAGUGAUGGGGGGGGAGGGGAUUUUCUAAGAGGCAAUAUUUUUUUUUUGUACACCUAUAGAAGAAAUAUAUUUUUUUUCUCACUUGAUGGUUGGAAAUAUUUUUUUUUUAAG